rnacentral:ncRNA from 1 species
CGGUGACCACGCCAAACCGGGGGUGACCCCGGGACGGAAAGCCACGGGUCCGGGACGGCAGCAAUCACGCUGCCCCCGGGCAGCCGGGUUACUUGC